UACGGAGGGUGCUAGCGUUGUUCGGAAUUACUGGGCGUAAAGCGCACGUAGGCGGCUUUGUAAGUUAGUGGUGAAAGCCCGGGGCUCAACUCCGGAAUUGCCUUUAAGACUGCAUCGCUAGAAUUGUGGAGAGGUAAGUGGAAUUCCGAGUGUAGAGGUGAAAUUCGUAGAUAUUCGGAAGAACACCAGUGGCGAAGGCGACUUACUGGACACAUAUUGACGCUGAGGUGCGAAAGCGUGGGGAGCAAACAGG
rnacentral:rRNA from 1 species